rnacentral:lncRNA from 1 species
ACCAAUUCACAUUUUUUAAUCCCUCUUAAUCACAAUAGGCACAGUACCCUCACCAAUUUGACCCCAAUGCAAUUUCUUCUCACUUUCCCACUAAAAAACAAAAAGGUACGUUCCAUUGUCCCAAGGGGUUCACAUUUUUUGGGAUUUCUGAUUCAAGCACAGUUCCAUAAGGAAAAAAGAUAAAAAAGGAGAUAGAGAAACAGAGUGAGGGCGAACCCUAAGAAGAAGAGAGAACAGCUGCCCACCCUAAGCUUCUUCUUCAACACCAAAAAUCAACAGCCGCAACUCCAUCCCUCACCACCAAGCAGCGCCUCCAAACACCACGGCCGCACUCACCAUCUCCGCGCCUCCGCCAGUCACCCCACUCGCCAGAAAUUCCUGUUUUGGUGCCAAAGAGUGCAGGGCUCUUGUUGUUGAGAUCUUAAAAAUUGUCCGCAUUAGAGAAAAACAGACAGAUCCGGAAGAACAAAUACAAAUUAAGAGAAGCUAAUCCGAGGUUGCCGUUCGAAGGUUUCCGGCCUAACGUUGCAGAUUCGAAGGAUAGAUUUUUUCAUCUAACUUGUUGUUCAAGUUCCGCAUUUGAUUGAGUUCAUAUCAAUUGUUCAUUGGUUGUGGCUGUUCUUCUAAAACUUUGCACAUCCGGACAGAAGUUAAUUAAAAAUUCAUUCAAGGUCCAUUCCAACCUUUAAUAUUUUACCUCCUGAUAUUUGUCACAUAUGUGUUUGAAUGGCAUAUGCGUACAUUUUCCAUGACUAUUUGUGGUAUUUUUGAUCUUAUGAUAAAAGUUGGUUAAUUGACACAUUUUGACGUCACUGAUUUAAUCAAAUGGUACCGCACCUUAAAUUGAAUAAGAGGUCCAGAUCUGAAAGCUUAUUUGGAAUUGAUUUCAAGGGUUGUUCGGUAAAAUUAAAAUAAAUUAGGUGCAAGAUAAACUAUAUUUUUCUUUUAUUCUUGUUUUAUUUACUUCUUCGGGUAGGAGCAUAUCUAGGCCGACCAUAUUUGGGUAGGCAAGUCUUAGGAUUUUUGUUAGUUUCGAGGUGAGAGAUUGUUCCCUUAGUUAAAUUUAUCCGGGGAAUGCCUCGAAGGAUUUGUAUAUAUUUUUAUCCGGAGUAUGCCCCGAAAUAUUUGUAUUUGGAAGCCGAAAGUAGAACUCGUAAUAUUUAAUUUUAAUUUUAAUUUUUUUCUUUUAUUAGAUGGGGACGACUUCGAGCAUCUUGUGUGUUUGUUUUUCUUUUCUGUGUUUGUUCUUAUCUCAAUUUGAAUAUUUUAAAAGCCAACUUGAUCAUCUAUGCAACCGUACUAGUUACGGGACUCGGGGAAUGCCUAACACCUUCUCCCCGAGUUAAAUGGACCCCCUUAUCCGAAUCUCUGGUGUAGAUUUAGUUUUGGAGUCCAAAGUGUUUUAAAAGGAAAAUCAUUUUAAAAACGGUGACCUGACACACCGAAACCAAUGUCAGGUGACGAUUUUGAGUUAUUUUCUUUUGAACACAAUUUUGUCAUUUUUUAAUUAAAAACCCUUUUGAGCUUUACAAAUCUUUUUAUUAAUUUAAGAGGGUUUAGUGAAGUUGGUAAAAAAGGGGUGUGACAACGACCUGACCGGUUGUUUGCUUUCUAGAAUCCCUUUCCCCUAAAUAAGACUUUUCGUACUUGCUUUUACUGAUUUAUAUCUUGAGGGGAUGGUUGUUUCGGGGUUUGCAAGAGCUUGGGUUGAAAUCGAAACACUUGGUUCCUUAAGGUUGGCUUAAAAGACCAAGUUUAACUUCGGUCAACAUUUUGAGUAAACGAUACCGAAAUCAGAAUUUGACGGUUUCAGUAGGUUCGUAUGAUGAUUUUGGACUUGAGCGUAUAUUCGGAUCGAGUUUUGGAUGACCCGGGAGCAUUUCGGCGCCUAAUAGUGAAAGUUGGUUCUUUAAGGAUUUUGAAGUUCUUUAAAUUUGGUUUAGAGUGAGUUUUGGUGCUAUUGAGGUCCGAAUUGAAUUCGGAGACUGGGAAUAGUUUUGUAAUGUCAUUAAAGACCUGCACGCAAAAUCUGGUGUCACUCCGAGUAGUAUAAGUACGUUUCGGCGCAUUGGAAGUAAAUUGAAGAACUUGAAGUUCAUAAGUUUGAAUCAAUUGGUUUUAGGGUGUGAUUCCUAGUUGUUCUUAGGGUUCGAGCGAGUCCGUUUUAUCAUUCCAAACUUGUGGGUAUGUUCGGGCGGGGCUCUGGGGGCCCUGAGCGUCAAUCGGACGAGGCUCAGACUAAUUUGAAAAAUAUGAGCAAGAGCUGAAGCCCCAGCUUCUGUCAUAAUCGCACCUACAGUUGGUCAGCCGCAGGUGCGAGCUUGCAGGUACGGCCAAGGGUGGGAAGCCCAGAACCGCAGAUGCGGCCCAUCCUUUGCAGAAGCAGAACCGCAAAUGUGGUGGGCCUUUCGCAGAAGCGGCCCCAGCCAGCCCAGUGAAUUCCCCAGAAGCGAACCAUUUUUCGCAGAUGCGGCCUAUGACCGCAGGUGCGGAAAUCACUGAAGGUAGUGGCCUUCAUUUAAUACGGGCCUUAGACGUUUUUGACUCAUUCCACUCCAUUGUUGGGCAAUUUUAGAGCUUCUUGAGAGAGGUUUUUCACCAAGCUUUUGGAGGUAAGUAAUUCCUACUAUAUGUGAGUUAAAUACUUAGAUUUUAGGUAGAUUAACAUGUAAAGAUUAGUGAAAAUCAUAGGAUUAAAGGAAAACCUAGGGUUUGGCAAGAAUGAGAUUUUACCACGAAACUGACCAUGAAACUUAGUGAUAAUCAUAUAUUUUUAUUCCUUAGGUUAUGGAUAACAACUUUCUUUGAAAAUUUUUGAAUUCCGGGCACAUGGGCCCGGGGGUGAAUUUUAGGAAUCUUGCCUUUGGGGUUGGGAAGUCACCUUAAUAGUUAGGAUAUGAACUUUUGAACCUGUAGAGAUUGGUUUUUACAUUAUUUGAAUAGUUUUGGAUUGUUCGGCUCCGAUUUGAGGGUUUGAGUGCAUUCUCGAGUUUGGAAGUAGGCUUUGAAGCAAGGUAAGUCUCCUUUCUAACCUUGUAAGAGAAAAAUUUCCCCAUAGGUGAUUUUAAUUUAAAAUGUAAGUAUUUAUGGGGGCUACGUACGCACGAAGUGACGAGCGUCCGUACGUAGCUACUAUUCCUGUUAUGUACAGGUGGUUUAGGUUGACACCAUGCUUUGUGAAUACCGUUAUUUAAUGAUACUUGGUACUUGUAUUAAAUGGAAUUAAGUUGAGACUUUUAAGGAUUUAAAGCUUCAAGUUGAAUUACCUUUAUUUUAAAGAAAAGAAUUUAAUGAAUUUGAUUUAAAUGAUUAAAUUUAAAUUUGAUCGUGUCUCAUGAAUGAUUCGCGAGCGGGGUGAAUAGAUGCAUCUAUGGUUCGCGCCGUUCGACCCUCCGGCAGUGCAAUUUUAUUAUUAUGUUGGAUCAGGCCGUACGACCUCGACAUAACUUACACAUGCUAUUUAUUUGUGAACUUUCUGUGAUUUGUAUUGCUUAAUGCCUUGAAUGUAAAUUGUUAAAUGAUAUGAAUGAAAUUUACAUUAUAUUAAUGAAAGAAGAACUUGUCACUUCCUGAUAUUUAGUGUCGAUUUUUUUAUGAUAUCCAUGCUUAGCAUAACACUUUAUUUAUAUUAUUGUUGGCCCUAGUAAGUGUUAAGUCGACCCCUCGUCACUACUUCUUUGAGGUUAGACUGGAUACUUAUCGGGUACGUAUUGUUUAUAUACUCAUACUAUGCUUCUGUACUUAAUUGUACAGGAUUUGAGGCUGGUGCAUCUAGUUACCCACCCGGCACACAUUCUUUAUAUCGGUUCGAGACUUCACGGUGAGUUGCCCCCUUUCCGAGCCAUCCAACAGCAUCGUCGGAGUUUCUCUUUUGUUGUAUCUAUUUAUACUAUCUCAGACAGUAGGAUAGUUAUAUUUUUGUACAUUCUACUAGUUGCCCUCGUACUUGUGACACUAGAUCCUGUCACACACAUUAGUAGACUAUUAUUUUUGGGUGUAAGAUUAUAUUCAUGAUUUCCUCUAGUGGUUCCUCCAUUAGUUACCUUGUAAUUUCAUUAAGUACUAAAUGCUUAAAUUUAAAUAAAAUUUGUGGUCGGAAAUUCUUAAAUAAAAAUAGAAAUUACUAGGUUGUCCACGGUUGGACUGUCUAGCGGCGGAUGCUGGAUGCCAUCACGACCUGACAUGAAAUUGGAUAAUGACAACAUGGUAUCAGAGCACUAGGUUCACGUAGGUCUCACAAGUGAUAGGCAGACCUCAUAGAUCUUGCGGAUCAGUGUGGAGACGUCCAUACUAAUUUUCGAGAGGCUAUAGGGAGUUAGGAAACUACUCUUUAUUCAUCUUCUAUCGUGCAAUUGAUGGUAUACUAAAUUCUCUCUCUUAUUCUCUCACAGAUGGUGAGAACGCGCACAACAGACAUCCCAGACUGGGGAAGAGCUGCUCCCCCAGACUAGAGGCCGAGGUAGGGGUCGGGGGAGGGAACCGACCCGAGGUAGGGGACGAGGACGUCCUAGAGUUGCCCUAGUUGCACCACCAGUGGAUCCAGUAGAGGAUCCCAUCAUUAAAGAUCAGGGCGAGGUGCCCGUAGCAGAGCCUGCCCCGGUGGAUUUCAUGACAACACCGAGCUUUCAGGAGGUCAUGGGUUGUAUGCUGCGGUUCAUGGAUUCUAUAACUAAGGCUGGUUUAUUUCCAACAGACCCAGCCACAUCUCAGGCGGUAGGCAGAGCACAGACCCCUAAUGUUCAGGCUCCUUGGCAUGCAACCGCAUUGUAUCAGACUCUGGGCACACUACCCACGGAUGGGGCCCAGCCAGUUACAAUAGUGGCACCUGAUCCCAGACCAGCUGCGGAUGACGACCCGCAGAAGUUAUUGGAUAGAUGGACUAGGCUACACCCUCCUAUCUUUGGAGGUGAGCAUCAUAAGGAUGCCCAGGAUUUCAUUGAUAGGUGCAGGGAUAGACUGCACUACAUGAGGAUAUUGGAGUCUCAUGGGGUUGACUUCACUACUUUCCAGCUAGAGGGCAGGGCUUGUAGAUGGUGGCAGUCUUAUGUUCUUGACAGGCCAGCGGGUUCCCCUCUCAUUACUUGGGGCCAUUUCACAUAUCUUUUCUUGGAUAAGUAUAAUCCACCCUCCGAGAGGGAAGAGUUGCGGUAUCAGUUUGAGCAGCUUGAGCAGGGUCAGAUGUCAGUGACCAACUAUGAGGCGAGGUUUUCUGAGUUAUCUCGUCAUGCACUCAUGAUACUUCCUACUAACCCAGAGAGAGUGCGGAGAUUUGUUGCGGGGUUGCACUCCGGUAGUAGGGCCAAAUGGGGACUCCUUAACAGUUGGUAGUGGAGAUUGCUCAGAGGAUCGAGGGCUAGCAUCAGAGGGGUAGAGAGCAGAUACAGUAGGACAAGAGGGCCCAUUUCUUUGGAGAGUUUAGAGGUGCCUUGGCUAGGGGCAGAGGUCAGUUUGGGAGGGGCCAACCCAGCAGGCCCCCAUAUUCAGAACCACCACCACCUUCUCGAGGUGCUCCAGUGAGGCCUUAUUUCAAUGAGAUGUCGGAGAGUUCUUACCGCUUGCCAGCUAUUCAGGGUUCCUCUGGUGGGUAUUCUGGUCAUCAGGGUACUUCCCGCGCUUAUUUCAGUGCCAUGCCAGAGAGUUCAUACCGCACACCAGCCGUUCAGGGUCCUUCUAGUUGGUAUUCAGGCCAUCAGGGUCAGACUUCGGGACAUCAGUCUAUGUUACCGAGAGGUUGUUACGAGUGUGGAGAUUUGGGUCACAUAAAGAGGACCUACCCCAGACUUCGGGGAAAGGCAGUGCAGCAGGGUUAGUAGCCCAUGAUUUCAGCUCUGCUAGCCCCGUCAGCUUUUCAGCCGCCUAGAGACGGGGGGCAGACAGGUAGAGGUCGUCCUAGAGGUGGAGGAUAGUCAGGUGGAGGCCAGCCAGCCGAUGCUCCAGCUAGAUUCUAUGCUUUUUCGGCCAGACCAAAUGCAAUGGCCUCAUAUACCGUGAUAACAGGUAUUAUUCCGUCUGCGGUAGGGAUGCUUCGGUAUUAUUUGAUCCAGGGUCUACCUAUUCAUAUGCGUCAUCUCUGUUUGCUCAUUUCAUGGAUAUCCCUUGUGAGUCUUUAGGUACUCCUAUUAAUGUGUCCACUCCUGUGGGUGAUUCUGUGGUUGUGGAUCAGAUCUACCGGUCCUGUGUGGUUACAUUCUGUGGUUACGAGACUAGAGCAGACCUUCUGUUACUUGAUAUGAUCGACUUUGAGGUCAUCCUGGGCAUGGAUUGGUUAUCUCCAUAUCACGCCAUCCUUGAUUAUCAUGCCAAGAGUGUUACUUUAGCAAUGCCAGAGUUGCCGAGAUUGGAGUGGAAGGGUUCCUCCGUUAGUACAUCUAGUCGGGUUAUCUCGUUUCUGAAGGCUCGACAUCUGGUCGAGAAGGGUUGUUUGGCGUAUCUAGCAUAUGUCCGAGACACCACCGUAGAGUCUCCGAUGACUGAUUUAGUGCCAGUAGUGCGGGAGUUCGCCGAUGUGUUUCCUUCUGACCUUCCAGGCAUGCUGCUAGAUCGUGACAUUGAUUUCUAUAUUGAUUUGGCUCCAGGUUCCCAACCUAUAUCUAUCCCACCGUACCAUAUGGCUCCAAAAGAGUUGAAGGAGCUGAAGGAACAGCUUGAGCAGUUAUUAGAAAAGGGGUUUGUUAGACCAAGUGUAUUACCUUGGGGUGCACCAGUGUUAUUUGUAAAGAAGAAAGAUGAGACUAUGCGGAUGUGCAUUGACUACCGUCAGUUGAACAAAGUUACCAUCAAGAACAAGUACCCGUUGCCGUGUAUCGAUGAUUUGUUUCACCAGUUGCAAGGUACUAGGGUGUUUUCUAAGAUCGACUUGAGAUUGGGGUACCAUCAGUUGAAGAUUCGGGACUCAGAUGUUCCAAAGACUGCUUUCCGCACUAGAUAUGGCCAAUAUGAGUUCUUAGUGAUGUCCUUUGGAUUGACUAAUGCCCCAUCGGAAUUUAUGGAUUUGAUGAACCGGGUGUUCAGGCCUUAUAUUGAUUCUUUUGUUAUCGUCUUCAUUGAUGACAUCUUGAUUUACUCACGCAGCCUGGGGGAGCACGAGCAACAUUUGAGAGUGGUGCUUCAGACAUUAAGGGAAUAAAAGCUAUUUGCUAAGUUCUCCAAGUGUGAGUUUUGUCUAGAGUCUGUGGCAUUCUUGGGGCAUGUUGUAUCAGGAGAGGGUAUUAAGGUGGAUCCCAAGAAGAUUGAGGCAGUUCAGAGUUGGCCACGUCCCACUUCAGUGACUGAGAUCAGGAGUUUCCUAGGGCUAGCAGGUUAUUAUCACCAAUUUGUGUAGGGGUUUUCAUCCAUUGCAACACCUUUGACUAGAUUGACCCAGAAGGGUGCUCCUUUCCGUUGGUCUGAUGGUUAUGAGGCGAGCUUUCAGAAGCUCAUGACAGCUUUGACUACGACACCAGUUCUAGUGUUGCCUUCCGGUUCGGGGAUGUAUACUGUGUAUUAUGAUGCUUUACGCGUUGGUUUGGGUUUUGUAUUGAUGCAGGAGGGGCAAGUUAUUGCAUAUGCUUCACGUCAGCUGAGGAUUCAUGAGAAGAAUUGCCCUGUGCACGAUCUAGAGUUAGCAACGAUUGUUCAUGCUAUUAAGAUAUGGAGUCAUUAUUUGUAUGGGGUGUCAUGUGAGGUUUAUACUGACCAUCACAACUUACAACAUUUAUUCAAGCAGAUGGAUCUCAAUUUGAGGCAUAUAGAUGGCUUAAGUUACUGAAGGAUUAUGAUAUCACCAUUCUUUAUCAUCCGGGCAAGGCAAAUGUGGUUGCGGAUGCCUUAAGUAGGAAGGCAGAGAGUAUGGGUAGCUUGACAUUCAUUUCAGCAGAGGAGAGGCCACUAGCUUUGGACAUUCAUUCCUUGGCUAACAGACUUGUGAGGUUGGAUAUUUCUUAGCCUAGUCGAGUUCUUGCAUGUGUUGAUGCCCAGUCCUUACUAUUGGGAAAGAUCAAGGCUCGGUAGUUUGAUGAUCUGCAUUUGGCAGUUCUCAGAGAGAUGGUACUACAAGAUAGUGCCAAGGAGGUUUCAAUUGGCGAGGAUGGUGUUCUGUGACUCGAUGGUCGUCUAUGUGUUCCUAAUGUCGAUGGCUUGAGGGAGAGGAUUCUGUAGAAGGCACACAGUUCACAGUAUUCUAUUCAUCCCAGUGCUACGGAGAUGUAUCAUGACGUGAGGCAGCAUUAUUGGUGACGGCGAAUGAAGAAAGACAUAAUGGAGUAUGUAGCUAGAUGCCUAAAUUGUCAGCAUGUCAAGUAUGAGCACCAGAGGCCAUGUAGCCUACUUCAGCAGAUGACUAUAUCUAAAUGGAAAUGGGAGCGCAUCACUAUGGCCUUUGUAGUUGGAUUGCCGCAGACCUUGCGAAAGUUUGAUGCACUUUGGGUCAUUAUCAACUGGUUGACCAAGUCGGCACACUUCACUCCGGUUGCGACUACCUAUACUUCAGAGACGUUGGCCCAGAUUUACAUUCGGGAGAUAGUUUGGUUGUACGGUGUGCCUGUGUCCAUCAUAUCAGAUAGAUUCCCUUAGUUCACUUCCUAUUUCUGGAGAGCCGUACAGAGUGAGUUAGGGACCCGCAUAGAGCUCAGCAUAACAUUUCAUCCUCAGACUGACGGGCAGUCGGAGCGGAUAGUUCAGAUAUUAGAGGAUAUGUUGAGAGCAUGUGUGAUUGACUUUGAAGGACAAUGGGAUCAGUUCUUGCCUUUGGUUGAGUUUGCUUACAACAACAACUAUUAGUCCAGCAUUGAGAUGGCUCCAUUUGAGGCUUUAUAUGGUCGGUGAUGUCGAUCUCCUAUCGGGUGGUUUGAGCCUAGUGAGGCUAAGUUAUACGGUACUGAUUUGGUAAAGGAUGCCUUGGAAAAGGUAAGGUUGAUUCAGGAGAGACUUCACACAGAACGGUCCAGACAGAAGAGUUACGCAGAUCAGAAGGCAUGUGAUGUAUCAUUUAUGGUCGGUGAGAAGGUUCUCUUGAAAGUGUCACCAAUGAAGGGUAUUGUGAGAUUCGGGAAGAAGGGCAAGUUGAGCCCAAGGUUUAUAGGCCCAUUUGAGGUGUUAAGGCGAGUUGGGGAGGUUGCUUAUGAGCUUUCUUUACCUCCCAGCCUAUUAGGGGUUCAUCUAGUUUUUCACGUGUCUAUGCUCUAGAGUACCACGCCAAUUUGUCUCAUGUGUUAGACUUCAGUACUAUUCAGCUAGAUGAGAGCUUGGGUUACGAGGAAGAGCCAGUUGCUAGAUAGGAUCGGCAGUUGAGAUCCAAGAGAAGUUCCGCAGUAAAGGUUCAUGUUGGAGGGGCCAACCGAUAGAAGAGUCUACUUGGGAGUCCGAGGAGGACAUGCAUAGCAGAUAUCCACACUUAUUCAGCACUUCAGGUAUGAAUCUAAACCCGUCUGAGGACGAACGUUUGUUUAAGAGGCAGAGAAUGUAACAACCCAAUCGAUUAUUUUUCUUUCUAGAACCCCGUUCCCCUAAAUAAGACUUCCCGUACUUGCUUUUACUGAUUUAUGACUUGCGGGGAUGGUUGGUUCGGGGUUUGGAAGAGUUUGGGUUGAAAUCGGAACACUUGGUUCCUUAAAGUUGACUUAAAGGCCAAGUUUGACUUCGGUCAAUAUUUUGAGUAAACAACCUCGAAAUUGGGAUUUGACGGUUCCAGUAGGUUCAUAUGAUGAUCUCGGUCUUAGGUGUAUGUUCGGAUCGGGUUUUGGAUAACCCUGGAGCAUUUCAGUGCCUAAUAGUGAAAGUUGGUUCUUCAAGGAUUUUAAAGUUCUUUAAAUUUGGUUUGGAGCAGGUUUUGGUGUUAUCGAGGUUCGAAUUGAAUUCCAAGACUGGGAAUAGUUCUGUAAUGUCAUUUAAGACCCGCAGGCAAAAUUUGGUGUCAUUCCGAGUAGUAUAAGUACGUUUCGGCGCAUUGGAAGUAAAUUGAAGAACUUGAAGUUCAUAAGUUUGAAUCAAUUGGUUUUAAGGUGUGAUUCCUAGUUUUAAUGUUGUUUCGGGCAUUUGGAGGGUUCGAGCGAGUCUGUUUUAUCAUUCCAAGCAUCUGGGUAUGUUCGGGCGGGACCCCGGGGGCUGGUAAGUUAGGAUUUUAACAUGUUUUAUGCCCCUACUUGCCUAUGCUUUGAUCAUAUAUUGUUACAAAAUAGUCCUAAACGGCUCACAAGUUGUGCUUGAUUGCAGGUUUAAUCGACAAAGUGAUGAAAUUUCAAAGAUCGGCUCAAAAAGGAGUGAAACUUGCUCAAAUAUCAAAAACCAAGAAAUCUAAGGAAAGAAGGCCCAGUGCGGACCGCACAAAGUUGAAUGCGGCCGCACUAGGUGGUUCAGAGAAUUGGUAAACCAGGCUAUAAGAAGCGCGGCCGCGGUACACAUCUUGCGGUCCGCGGUGAAGGCUCCGCGGCCGCACUACUCUUUUAUCCGGUCCGCGGUCAUGAGAUUCAGAGAGAUGAAAGUUUGCAAAGCCAAUGCCAUGCGGUCCACGGUCGUGAUUGCACGGACCGCGCUAGCUCCCUCCGCGGCCGCGGUCCAUUCUACGCGGUCCACUGAGUCUAAAUUCAGAGAAGCAAAAUUCAAAGUCAAAGAGCCCAGUGCGGCUGCGGUCCAUUUAAUGCGCCCGCGCUAACCCUGCAGGGGUAUUUUUGUCCAGUUUUUCUAGCCUAUUAUAAAUAGAAUAUUUUACCAUUUUUUAGAUUAUCAGAUAUAUCAGAGUUGAGUUGCGCUCGUGGGAAUAUCAUUUGUAGCCAUUUUUGGCAUCUUAGCUUCAAAUUAACAAUAGACUCUCUGUAUUUACAUUAGCAUUUAAUUAAUAUGCCUUGUUCUCCAU